CCUACGGGAGACAGCAGUGGGGAAUAUUGGGCAAUGGGCGCAAGCCUGACCCAGCAAUGCCGCGUGAAGGAAGAAGGCUUUCGGGUUGUAAACUUCUUUUAAGAGGGAAGAGCAGAAGACGGUACCUUUUAAAUAAGCCACGGCUAACUACGUGCCAGCAGCCGCGGUAAUACGUAGGUGGCAAGCGUUGUCCGGAUUUACUGGGUGUAAAGGGCGUGUAGCCGGGCUGACAAGUCAGAUGUGAAAUUCCGGGGCUCAACCCCCGACCUGCAUUUGAAACUGUUGGUCUUGAGUAUCGGAGAGGCAGACGGAAUUCCUAGUGUAGCGGUGAAAUGCGUAGAUAUAAGGAGGAACACCAGUGGCGAAGGCGGCCUGCUGGACGACAACUGACGGUGAGGCGCGAAAGCGUGGGGAGCAAACAGGAUUAGAUACCCCAGUAGUC
rnacentral:rRNA from 1 species